ensembl:snoRNA
AGACUCUUAGCUAUCCAUAGUUACGCUUGGCCUCACCUGUGCAACUUUCUUAAUGGGGAGAGAGAGAGAUCUCUUUGGGAACUCAGAUUGGCCUUAUGGUGGCCUCUCUUUCUUUGAGGGGCACAACAGGU